rnacentral:rRNA from 1 species
GAUGAACGCUGGCGGUAUGCUUAACACAUGCAAGUCGAACGGACUCUUCGGAGUUAGUGGCGGACGGGUGAGUAACGCGUGAGAAUCUGGCUUUGGGUUCGGGACAACCACUGGAAACGGUGGCUAAUACCGGAUGUGCCGAGAGGUAAAAGAGAAAUUGCCUGAAGAUGAGCUCGCGUCUGAUUAGCUAGUUGGUGAGGUAAAGGCUCACCAAGGCAGCGAUCAGUAGCUGGUCUGAGAGGAUGACCAGCCACACUGGGACUGAGACACGGCCCAGACUCCUACGGGAGGCAGCAGUGGGGAAUUUUCCGCAAUGGGCGAAAGCCUGACGGAGCAAUACCGCGUGAGGGAAGAAGGCUCUUGGGUUGUAAACCUCUUUUCUUUGGGAAGAACAAAAUGACGGUACCUAAGGAAUCAGCAUCGGCUAACUCCGUG